rnacentral:rRNA from 1 species
UACGGGGGGAGCAAGCGUUGUUCGGAUUUACUGGGCGUAAAGGGCGCGUAGGCGGUAGCACAAGUCAGUUGUGAAAUCUCUGGGCUUAACCCAGAAAGGUCAACUGAUACUGCGGGGCUAGAGUGCAGAAGGGGCAACUGGAAUUCUCGGUGUAGCGGUGAAAUGCGUAGAUAUCGAGAGGAACACCUGCGGCGAAGGCGGGUUGCUGGGCUGACACUGACGCUGAACUGCGAAAGCUAGGGGAGCGAACGGG